AUGAUGAUGAUGAGUAUCAGUGGUUACAUGAGGAAAAUGCAUGAGGGGCUUUUCACAAGGGGGCUUUUACCACGAGGGCAUCCAGCA
rnacentral:snoRNA from 1 species